rnacentral:rRNA from 1 species
UACGUAGGUGGCGAGCGUUAUCCGGAUUUAUUGGGUUUAAAGGGUGCGUAGGCGGCUGAUUAAGUCAGCGGUGAAAGGUAGCAGCUUAACUGUUUUACAUGCCGUUGAUACUGGUUAGCUUGAGUUAACAGAAGGCAGAUAGAAUUUCUGGUGUAGCGGUGAAAUGCUUAGAUACCAGAAGGAAUACCGAUUGCGAAGGCAGUCUGCUGCAGUUACACUGACGCUGAGGCACGAAAGUGCGGGGAUCAAACAGG